AUUCAUUUUUCAGUACUUCCAUGGCUACUGUCUUGUUAGAAAAAUUAUACCCUUUUCUUGCUUUGCAUUUGCUCUCCAAGUUUGGGGAUUUUGAUCUGAGAAUUGAAAAAAAAACAUAAAAGUGAAUUAUGUGCUAUUUUCCUAUAACUUGAUGAGAAAAUGAUAAACAGUGAUUCAUAAGUUUAAGAAAUGGAACUGUUUCAUGUGACUUGAGUUUAUUUGUAGAUAUUUGAAGUGAUUUCUGUAGUAUCAGGUAAAUUCAGACAUGUCAGACAUGUGGACAAGUCAAUAUAACCAGAGACAGAGGUCUAGGCAUCUGUGGGGUUCAAUAAGAAAACUCUUAAACAUUUUUUAAACUUCUUAUUUUACUCAUAACUUUAAAAGUUUAUUGGUAUAAACAGAAUUUUUAAAGGGCUAACCUAUUGUGUAAAUGGUAAUUUUUGACACAAAGUGUUUAGAAUACUUAAAGGCAUUUAAAAAAAGUGUUUGGCAUAUAUUAACUCAGUUAUUUCUUAUGACACUCAGUAAAGUAGGUACCUGCUGUAGUUCAUUUGGGCUGCUAUAACAAAAAUAUCAUAGACUGGGCAGCUGAAAGAACAAAUAUUUUCUCACUGUUCUGGAGGCUGAGAAGUUCAAGAUUAAGGCACCAGUAGAUUCAGUGUCUGGUGAGGGCCUGUUCCCCAGUUCAUAGAUGGCACCUUCUCACUGUGUCCUCACAUGUUGGAAAGGGCAAGGGAGCUCUCUGGGGUCAGUUUUAUGGGGUCUGUUUUUAAAGAGCAUUCAUCUCAUUCCUGACGACUCUACUCUUACAGCCUAAUCGCCUCCCAAAGGCCCCACCUCAUAAUACUAUCUGAUUGGAGGUUAGGAUUUUAACAUAUUAAUUUUGAGGCAACAUAAACAUUCAGUUCAUCGUGGUACCUUUCCCAAGGCCACACAACUAGAAAAUGGCAGGGCUGAGAUUUGAACCCUGGCAUUUGGCUCCAGAGUUUUUCCUCUUAAUGACUAUUUUCUUGGUGUGCCUACUUUAAGCAUUCACAGUGUUUCUUAGUCACUUACUCAUUAAUCUUUCAUUUCUUGAGACCUGCUAUUAAUUAGAUGUUGUUAACGGAUAUGUUUUCUGUCCUCAGAAACAUCAGCCUGGAAGUGGGAGACAGAUAGAUCCAUAAACAAUCCCAGAGUGGUACAGAAGGAGCGUUAUAGCAAGAACCGAGGGAGGUCGGCCGGAGAGGGGAGACAUCCAUUCUGCCGGGGAAAGGGGGAAUGUGAAUCUUAGAAAAGGUCUCAGAACCGACCAUCCUUGCUAACAUGGUGAAACCCCAUCUCUACUAAAAUUAGCUGGGCGUGGUGGCGGGUGCCUGUAGUCCCAGCUACUCCGGAGGCUGAGGCGGGAGAAUGGCGUGAACCCGCGAGGCGGAGCUUGCAGUAAGCCGAGAUCGCGCCACUGCACUCCAGCCUGGGCAACAGAGCAAGACUCUUGUCUCAAAAAAAAAAAAAAGAAAAAGAAAAAGAAAAGGUCUCAGAACCUUAGCAUUUAAAUGAUGGGUGGAGGAUAAGGGCCGAGCAAAAAAAGACUAUAAGAAAAGUUGGUCAGCAGGUAUUGAAAGCAGAAAGUUCAAGAACGAACUACAGAUCUAUUUAAGAGCAAAAGGAAAAAUGAGUCUAUGUGCCAGCUUGAGAGAGAUAAAACAGUUAUGGUUGGAAAGUGAGGUAAUGGAGUUUAAAAAUACCGAGGGGGAGGGUUCUGAGGGGCUUCACUGUGUGGAAAAUCAUAACAACAGUUAACAUCAAAUCCAGCUGAGGGAAUUGCUUCAGGAAGCUGGCACUGGGUCAUGACUUUUCUAGGUCUGAUUGGUAGCCUUUGUAAUAAGCUUUUUUAUUGGUCCCAUUUGUCUUUUGCCAUAAAAGUACUUGAUGCUAAGCAACGGUGUAUACAAAUCAAGCCUUUCUUCUUUAUAGCAUAUAUUUUACCCCUCCGGGGACGAGAGCUAUGAAGUAGACAGGGUGACCAUCGUCUAGAUUCAAAAGACAUUUUGAGUGAUGUAUUGUAGAUGACUUUCUUAACUAGCAUGUGAAAUAUAUAGUAAAUCAGCAUGACCUUACACUGGGAUAAUGGAGCUGAAUUUAUACCAAGGAUCCGUCUGCCUGUGAUAAAAUUGCUUGUUAAUUCUGGGUAGAUGACAUUUUUUCUGACGGGUUGUUGACCAUUAUAAUUCCCAUCUUUAGAAGUGGUUUCCAAAGUGGAAAUCUCACUCUAUGUGUCCCCCCUGUACCCCUUCCUUCCAUAACACACCCCCAGAUUCUGUUUCUAGGAGACUCUUACAAUAGAUGAAUGGCUAUUUCCUAUAAACUUCUCAGUGUUGGCUGUUCACUUGGUUAUUUAAGUCUGAAUUCAAAGCUCAGAGUUUGGAAUAUAACCCAUUCUUUAAGGGUGGAGCUUAUUUUAAAUGCUUCCCUUAUAUCCCUGAUAUCUUUUGGGUGAUGUGUGUGUGUGUGUAUCUGUAUCUCUAUCUCUAUGUAGAUAUAUAACUUUCAUUAUUCAUAAUUUCUGACCUCAUCUUUGCCUUUGGUAAAUACUUGAAUGUCUAGUAUGUUCCAGGCCUGAGGAAUAUGGGAGUGAAUGUGGUUUGGUUCUUGAAUUCACUGAGCUCUGAGUCUAAUCAGGGAGAUAGAAGUGUACAGCAUGUCUGAUGCACUUUGAUAUAUGCAAUCUUGGAUGUUGAGUGGAAGCUACUCAAAAGACGAGGUUUCACUAUGUUGCCCAGGCUGCUCUCAAACUCCUGGGCUCAAGCCAUCCGCCCACCUAGGCCUCCCAAAGUGCUGAGAUUACAGGGCUGACCUACCACACCUGGCCUUCUUGAACUACUAUUGAUUGACCUUUCUGGGCUGCAAAUGGG
rnacentral:lncRNA from 1 species